rnacentral:lncRNA from 1 species
AUGUGCUUCUUCUUAAGGACCUUUCAUGAUAAGACUGUGAGCUUGGGAGUCACCUGCUGGAAGUCACUUGGGCUAUUUGUGAGCAAAUACUUGUCACCGUUACCUCAUCUAAUGAGCCCUGCCCCCAAGGUGACACGCAAACUAGGAAAUUCAGGUACAGGCAUUUUCCAGUCUCAGAUGUCUGCUACUGCCAGCCACACCUUCUGUUGAAACUCAGCCAGAGUCAUUUCCUACUAGGCUUCAGAAAAUACCUGUAAAUGCUGUAACAAAC